rnacentral:tRNA from 2 species
GUGUAUGUAAUUUAAAAAAAAUAUCAAGCUGUGACCCUGACAUUAGGAUAAACCUCAUACACCGA